GCUCUCAGUGUUUCCUUUUCCGUGGAAACCGGGUUCAAAUGGCUCUUUGAGUGUUAAAGGUUGCCGACCCCUGGCUUAUAAUAAGCGACUUUGGGUUUGUUUUUUUCUAAAGUUGCUUGCAAAUCUCGUGAGUCGCGUGUUGCGGUUUUUUUGGGCUUGUUUUUGAACGUCAAGUUGCUUAUUUGCGCUUGAAUUUCUUUACGAGUGAAACUCCUUGAUUAUCUCUCGGCGCCCCAUAGUAAAGCAACAGCCCAGAGUGAGGAAGCAGCGUAAGAAUGCGCUCCAGUAAGUGGAGAAAAUAUAGAAAAAAUAUAAUAUAGAGUGUGAGAAAGAGAGCGCACUUAAAGAAUGGAUCCGAGCUCAGAUGGGAGUGGCGCAAAAAGAACACAAGAAGCUCAAUAAAUUCCAACGGCUAAGAGAAGAGCUCCAGCAGAUUCCAGGAAUGACAUCCGAGAUCUAUGUCCAGAAGAACACAGUCCUAGAAACAGCUAAGAUACUGCACAGGACCUACAAGCUCCCAGACUUCUGGCAAAGGACCUGACCUCGAAGGACAAAGCAAAGACCGCCCACAGGUUCAAGCUGAUGGACCGCAAUUCUUCACAAAGUUCACAUAACCAUGACACAUCGCUGCAGUAUCAGAUCAGGUAUCUUCCUCCAUGAGGAUAAUAUUUCAUGUACAGGACAUUCAUUUUCUAGUCAACUUCAGCGAUGAGCCAUCGCCGGUGUCUGUCCAUCCAUCAUCUCCUGACCUUCAGCACUGUAUCCUGACGGCUGCCUGGGGCACACUGGAGAGUGACUAAUGUCAUCUCAGCUGCCACCUCCCCGCACCAAAGACCCCUGAUAUCCGUCCCGUAUUAUCCGAGCCUGGCGUCUACAGAUUCCUAUCGCUGCUCCCAGCUUUAAUUAUUCACGCCACUGAAUCACACGCUCAUCAGAGAGAUAGCCAAACUGGCCAGACUGCCUGCCCUCUCCCUCUCUGCGAUCUUAUCUGACUGUUUGAAAUUGUCUCAUCCUUUUCAUAUAUCUAACUAUAAAGGAACAUUCUCUGUAUGUAUCCUUGUGUGUGCACAUCACACUUAGCGGGUGUAUUGUUGGGGAUCAAAAGUGGAGAAAUGUGUGAAGUCAUUUGGAUGAACGAUCUUCAUGUUUUGUGUUAUGUUAACAGCAUAGUUUCAGUGAUGCCCUUAGCUGGCCUUCGUCAUCAACGGGCACUGACAGCAUGUUCACAGCUAUUGUCAAUCAUGCUGUCAGCAGGCUUAAAGCUCACUGAGUGUAGACCAUUCAAUCUUUAGCAUAAAGGCCAUCUACUGCUAUAUCUAGCAGUAGAUGCUAGAGCUUUUAAUGUC